AAGUCGUAACAAGGUUUCCGUAGGUGAACCUGCGGAAGGAUCAUUAACACGCUCUUGAAAAUCCAUUAUUCAAACCAACCGCGAACCAAUUUUCUCCCUACGUGUGACGUACGCGGAAGGACUUCUUUCACGUCUCUCUCACGAUAGGCUAACUGCCUGUGUGGAUCCAUUCCAUACAGGUGCAACUUCUUAUUUUGACCCCAAUUCUUCAACCCUUUGUCUAUCAGUUCCUUCUGCCGUCUGACGGCCUGCUGGGAAUUGAACCUCUCUUGAGCCUGCGACUCCGCAGGUUCCAUUUGAUCCUCUUACGAGGCUCAUGAAUACAAAUAGUUGUAAACACACAACUCUUAGCAAUGGAUAUCUAGGUUCUC
rnacentral:misc_RNA from 1 species